rnacentral:rRNA from 1 species
CAUGCCAAUGGCACUGCCCGGUAGCUAAAUGCGGAAGAGAUAAGUGCUGAAAGCAUCUAAGCACGAAACUUGCCCCGAGAUGAGUUCUCCCUGAGACUUUAGGUCUCCUGAAGGAACGUUGAAGACGACGACGUUGAUAGGCCGGGUGUGUAAGCGCAGCGAUGCGUUGAGCUAACCGGUACUAAUGAACCGUGAGGCUUAACCUU